rnacentral:rRNA from 1 species
CGGACGGGUGAGUAACGCGUGGGUAACCUGCCUCAUACAGGGGGAUAACAGUUAGAAAUGGCUGCUAAUACCGCAUAAGACCACAGCGCCGCAUGGUGCAGGGGUAAAACUCCGGUGGUAUGAGAUGGACCCGCGUCUGAUUAGCUAGUUGGUGGGGUAACGGCCUACCAAGGCGACGAUCAGUAGCCGACCUGAGAGGGUGACCGGCCACAUUGGGACUGAGACACGGUCCAA